UACGUAGGGUGCGAGCGUUGUCCGGAAUUAUUGGGCGUAAAGAGCUCGUAGGCGGUCUGUCGCGUCUGCUGUGAAAACUCAGGGCUUAACCCUGAGCUUGCAGUGGGUACGGGCAGACUAGAGUGCGGUAGGGGAGACUGGAAUUCUCGGUGUAGCGGUGAAAUGCGUAGAUAUCGAGAGGAACACCUGGCGGCGAAGGCGGGUUGCUGGGCUGA
rnacentral:rRNA from 1 species